rnacentral:rRNA from 1 species
CCUAGGGGGGCACCAGUGAGGAAUAUUGCACAAUGGGGGGAACCCUGAUGCAGCAACGCCGCGUGGAGGAUGACGCAUUUCGGUGUGUAAACUCCUUUUAUAUGUCAAGAAAAUGACGGUAGCAUAUGAAUAAGCACCGGCUAACUCCGUGCCAGCAGCCGCGGUAAUACGGAGGGUGCAAGCGUUACUCGGAAUCACUGGGCGUAAAGGACGCGUAGGCGGGUUGGAAAGUCAGGUGUGAAAUCCUACAGCUUAACUGUAGAACUGCACUUGAAACUUCUAAUCUAGAGUAUGGGAGGGGGAGAUGGAAUUAGUGGUGUAGGGGUAAAAUCCGUAGAUAUCACUAGGAAUACCUAAAGCGAAGGCGAUCUCCUGGAACAUUACUGACGCUAAGGCGUGAAAGCGUGGGGAGCAAACAGGAUUAGAUACCCGCGUAGUC